GCUCAUUUCUUUUCUUCUUCUCUCUAUACGUUGGUGUUCUAACCAAUAAUCACCGAUGCGAUGUUCUGUCCGAUCGAUUCAGGAACCAACUAACGGAUGCCAAAGUGUUAUACUUUGAGAGUUCGUUAAACGGAUGCCAAAGUGCUAUACUUUGAGAGUUCGUUAAACGGAUGCCAAAGUACUAUACUUUGUGAUUUCGGUAAACGGAAUCCAAAGUGUUACACUUUGUGAAAUUCAUUAAGGUUCGAAUCUCGUGACUACCGUUAAGGUUUGAUUUGGGUUUUACACAAAUACGUAUUCCAUUCUGUUAAACUAUAUGUUUAACUACCAAAAAUACUCCCAACUACACACUCACAAUCAAACAAACUAUUAAAUCAUCAGAAGAUCCAGAAUAAUAAAGUGCAUGCUUAAUUAUCGGAAGAAGUAGAAUCAAGAAGCUUGUUAACUCAAUCUUGCAUGCUUAUAAAGGAUUAAGUCUUUGUAAUCACCAAGUUACAGCCGGUAUGUGGGGUUUUGUAUACAUUACUUGAUAAUCUUCAACAUUGGGGCAGCCAAUGGGUGAUAUGACCAUAAUCACAGACACCACUGGACAGGUGGGCCAGUGGGUCGAGUGAUAAAGUACCGUGGGUAGUUGGUUUGAUAUUAGAGACAUUGUAAUCGCUCUUAAUACUGUGAAUUAUAACAAAUAUGUUUUUGUAUAAAAUCUGAAUGAACUCACUCAGUAUUUCCCUGCUGACAAAACCUUUUUAAAAACGCGUUUCAGGUAAUUACAGUAGAUUGGAGUAAGGAUUGGAUCCAGCACUAAAGGACUUCAAGAAGUGGCUUAUUUUAUUAAAUAAAUCAACUUAAGAAAUAUUGUUUUGGGUUUAUCCCGUAUUAAAAGCUACCUUUGAAAAAUAUGGAAUUUAUUCCAUCUAUUUAAAUAAAAUCCGGUGUUUCUAAACUCUGAUAUUUUUCCUAACUCACGGUCCUGAUGAAAUUUCCGCUGCAAUGUUUUUAAAAAUAAUCACCGGUACCACUGGACUGCUCGCGGCUUCCGAUUCCGGCCAGGAUGGGGGUCGGGGGUCGUGACAGUAGAUAUAUGGUUUUGCUAGAAAACAUGCUCUCAUAUUGUGUUUACGGGUAGCCGCUGGUGUAUGAGUAUGUUUCGAUACUAAAUCUGAGGAAUUAGAACAUGCAUGAUGAGGGUUUGAUGACUUGUAUACGUUCAUAUUCAUGAUGUGGUUUGAUAAUUCUGAUGGAUGAACUUAUAUUAUGAUAAAUUAAUAAUCUGAUUUUGUAUGGUCAUUGGAUGAUUAGGGUCAAUGAUUGUUUAGGACGGUUGUUUAUGUGUAUUAAGGAAACUGUUACAAUUCGGAGAUUCGUAUGAGCAUGUAUAACAACUGUUAAAUCAUAAUGAUUGAUCUGUUUCGCGAAAUGGUAAAGUGUUUAUUGAAAUCACGGAUAGUUGUUACUGAGGAAAUCAGGAUGAUCUGCUGAGAAGCAGCGACGAAGGACCCGGUUCUUCGUUGACUGGCCUUUGACGAACAACUAAGGGUACUUCAUCACACUCAUUCCUCAACGAAGAACGGUUCUUCGCCAAUGGGGUUCUUCGCCAUGAGGGCAUCCCACAAAGAACUGGUUCUUUGUGAAGAUGCUGCAAGUGAACAAUCAAACAGAACAGUUUAAACAGCAAAUGUGUCCACAUAACAUAAGGUUUUGAAUAGUUUAUGAUGUAUAUGAUGAUGAAUGUUUAUGUUUAUAAAAUUCUAUUUGUUGCAU
rnacentral:lncRNA from 1 species